ACUUAUUUAAAUAAAUAGGUAUAUUCUUGAAGUUUGUAACAAUCUCUAAAAUAUAAAUAUGACUUGAUAGUUUGUUCCACAUUUGUAUUUAUAUAUUGAUACCAUUAUCGAAAUCGGCUGAAGAGGACCCUAGUUGGUCCUAAAACGGCCUAAGGUAGAGGGAUUUUAGUCGAUAGGUCCGAGAAGUUCUUCCUCGGGAAUCCGACACUACCCAGUCGUACGGACGGCUGGGUGUCUUUUGAAGAUUUCCCCUCUUUCACGAAA
rfam:Agrilus planipennis Contig12822, whole genome shotgun sequence.